rnacentral:rRNA from 1 species
UGGGGAAUAUUGGACAAUGGGGGCAACCCUGAUCCAGCCAUACGCGUGUGUGAAGAAGGCCUUUUGGUUGUAAAGCACUUUAAGCAGGGAGGAGAGGCUAAUGGUUAAUACCCAUUAGAUUAGACGUUACCUGCAGAAUAAGCACCGGCUAACUCUGUGCCAGCAGCCGCGGUAAUACAGAGGGUGCGAGCGUUAAUCGGAAUUACUGGGCGUAAAGCGAGUGUAGGUGGCUCAUUAAGUCACAUGUGAAAUCCCCGGGCUUAACCUGGGAACUGCAUGUGAUACUGGUGGUGCUAGAAUAUGUGAGAGGGAAGUAGAAUUCCCAGGUGUAGCGGUGAAAUGCGUAGAGAUCUGGAGGAAUACCGAUGGCGAAGGCAGCUUCCUGGCAUAAUAUUGACACUGAGAUUCGAAAGCGUGGGUAGCAAAACAGGAUUAGAUACCCUGGUAGUCCACGCCGUAAACGAUGUCUACUAGCCGUUGGGGUCCUUGAGACUUUAGUGGCGCAGUU